rnacentral:piRNA from 1 species
UGUGCUGAAGACCACGUGAACUUUACAUC